UGGUGUCGGAAGUGGCUUUUGUCGCUCCGUGCUGUGUUUGUGCGUAUGGUUGCUGUUGCCCUGUGUCGCGGUGGGACGUCAGAGUCAGUUCGUAUGCUGCGGGAAAUGGCUAUCGAGGAGGUAGGUCGGGAGCUUGCUCUUGGCUGUUAUAUCUCGUUAGUUUGUUGUCGUGGUUGGGACUGAGGUGCCUACAACGUGCUUUUGAGUGUUCCGGGUUCUCAGUCGGUGUGCCGUUUGGAUAGCUUGCUAUGCUUGUGGCUUUACUGGUUGAUUGAGUCUGGUGGUAACUUGUUGCCGUUCGGGACUUUGACGAAAUGGAGCGAUUCGGCCCGUCUUGAAACACGGACCAAGGAGUCUAACAUGUGUGCAAGUGUUAGGGUGUGGAAACCCGAGCGCGUAAUGAAAGUAAAGGACAGUGUACUCUGUCUGAGGUAGGAAACCUUUGUUUAUCAGAGGUGGCACUAUCGACCGAUCAAGAACCUUCGUGGUGAAAGAUUUGAGUAUGAGCACAUAUGUUGGUACCCGAAAGAUGGUGAACUAUG
rnacentral:rRNA from 1 species